rnacentral:rRNA from 1 species
UACGGGGGGUGCGAGCGUUGUCCGGAAUCACUGGGCGUAAAGGGCGCGUAGGUGGUCUGAUAAGGGUGUGGUGAAAGCCCGGGGCUCAACCCCGGGUCGGCCGUGCCGACUGUUAGACUAGAGUACUGUAGGGGCAGGCGGAAUUCCGGGUGUAGCGGUGGAAUGCGUAGAGAUCCGGAAGAACACCGGUGGCGAAGGCGGUCUGCUGGGCAGUAGCUGACGCUGAUGCGCGACAGCGUGGGGAGCAAACAGG